rnacentral:lncRNA from 1 species
ACAUGUGUGAAAAUCAUCAGGAUAAAUUUAAGUUGGGAUUAGUUAUGUUGGUAGAUUGUGUGUUAAAACCAACUUCAAGACAAAUUGAUUAUAGAACUCUUGGUGUGAUUGAGUAUGUUGAUGAGUUUCUUGCGUAUCCAUGGGGUUGUAAAAUAUAUUUUGUUUUGUUAAAUUUUUUGAAAGAGUCAAAAUUUGAAAGAAUAGUAAGGAUGCAACGGAAUGAACAAGUAGAAUGUAAGUAUGCACUACAAGGGUUUCCACUUGCUUUUCAGGUAUUUUUUUUGUAUUUUUUUAUUGAUUUAUUAUGUAUAAGUUAUAUAGAUAACAAAUCUUAACACCAUAGCCUAUAGGUAAUCUUUAAGAUUCAUAAUAAACAACCACAACAAAGUCUCCG